rnacentral:lncRNA from 1 species
AACCAUGAUGUUGAUACUGGUUUCUAUGAUAUAGGAAAAAGUGCCUAAACUGUAAGCCUAAACCUGUGAGGAGAAGUUUUGGGAGGCGUCACUAGCAUGGCCUUUGCAACAGACCUGGAAACCCAUAGCAGAUGUGACACAGACCAUCUCAUACCUGGUAAAAACUCAGUCUUAUUGAUUACCGUUCAGGUCAGGAGUAAAAGAUAUCUUUUAACAUCUUGCAGAGACUGAUGAAUACCAUCCCACUAAAGAGAAUUCCACAAUGAAUUGUCCUUUCAAAAUGGCGGCAACCAACCUUUCAAUAGUUAUCAGUAGGAGUAAAGCUGCAAGAGCUAACGCCUGUGCUGAAAGACCAGCUUCAUCCAAUCAAAGGAACAAUAAAAACUGUGGACAAAGAAGCAUUCUGCAAAGAAGAGGGAUGAAUCACUUCACCAAUGUAGCAAAACUUCUGUAAACAAGAGAUUUUUUAGUGUUAAAGUGUCACGGUCCUUUAUUAUAAACACAAACAUGAGCCCUUUCAAGAAGGCAUAAAUUAUAUUUUAAUCUGGACUAAGCAGUAGCUUUUGUUAAUAAUGUUGAAUAUAAAGGAAAUGCUCAAUAUUUAAACUAUUAUGUCAUAGCACGUAGCACAUAGUCAUGCAAUUAAAUUAUACCAAAAU